GUAGGUUCAGGGCAGUGUAGCUGGUGGGGAAGGGCUAAGUGAAGAGGGGCUGUCUAGACCUGGGGAGCAUGGUUAUAAUGAGCUUUUUCAAACGUACAACUCAACUCUCUUGCACCUAGGAAGUAUCUUCAUCCAGAAGGAGUUCUCAGUCCUUUUUCUGACACGAUUGAAAACUAUUGACCCUCAAGUUAUCACAAAUGGUUAUGAAAUGGAAAUGGAAUGGGAAGGAGUAUGAAAAAAUAAGCUGAAUACUGACAAACCUAAGAAUUAUUUUCUUCAGCUUUGUCUUCCAAAGGACAAUGGUGUGAGGAGGACUUCAUCCUUGUGUAACACCCUGUGUGUGUGUUUUUCUUCUUUCUCUCACCAAAGCAUUUUUUUUUCCUCCCUUUUGCUGGAGGCCUGUCUCUUUCUCUUGAACAGAUCAACAAUCAGGUCGUAAAUGGGAGUUGGAGCCGGAUGAUCAAAAAGAACUUUAGAAAAAUGGGAAUAAAAGCAAGAGCUGAUGAGUUUGAAAUGAAAGCCCAUCUGGGAGAGCUCUUCUAAUGAACUCAGCCUACUCAAACUGUACAAAGAAAGCUGAAGAAUGAUUGCAGCUGCAAUCUCCAACCUACAUAAAGCACUAACGCUGGUAAGGUGAUGAAAGUGAAGGGAGGUAACUGGUAUCUGGAUUUGGAAGAGAGAAGUCAAAGGCCAUCACCCCCUUGUACUACUGCAUUCACCAUGUAAGUUCCUUCGGAAAUUUCACAGCCAAUCUGAAUUAAAGAGACAGCUGCAGAUGCUUCAGGAUGAAGGUCACACUCUGAAUUCUACGAAGAGCCCUAUGAUUCAAAAGUACCAUCUCUUUAGCCUCAGAGCAGUUGUAUACCACCUUCUCACUUGCUCUGUCCCUGGGCUAGUAUGGCUUUGAAAUUAUGUUAAAGAAGAGGCAUUUUCCCUCACAAAGACUCCCAAAAUAUGACUAUUAAGUGAAAGAACAGGUAGAGGGAGGGAAAGAGCUGAAUCUAAGUGGAGAUUAAUAAAGUGUUGUUUUGAAAUUGUUCCUUUAUUUUUCCUGGGUUAAUUAUCGCCAUUUAGUCACGACUUCCUGACACAGCACCAGAAAUUUUGUUGAAAUCUUAAUAUUCUGCAGGAAACUGACCUGACUACCAGCAGGAAUUAUAUUGACUAAUUAAUAAUGUCCAGUCUCCCUCAAGGAUAAGUCACCUCUGUCUGGCUCUAUCAUGGCCACUCUUAGAAUGAUGGUGAUGGUCCACUGAUUGUCACAUCCAAUGAAUUUAUCUGAAGUAUUUGUCCUAUGUAACCUCUUCAAAGCUUUCAGCGCCAGUCACCACCCAGUUUUCAUUUUCUUGUUUCUCUUCCUAACUCUCUCACAAUUUCUCAAUUUCCAUAAUUGUCUCCUCUUUCUCCAUGCACACUUUUAUACAUUGUUUUUCUCCAGGAUUGUACUUUUCUCCUGAUCUCACAGAGCACUCCUAAUACAGUGUUGGUUUUAUUUACAUUUAAUAUAAUUGAAAUCUGAAAUGGUAUACUCAGCUGCUCCAUGUAGAUAUUUGAGGGUACCUCAAAUUCAACAUGUCCUGAGCUGAAACUCAUCAUCUUCCACUUUACUUUGGUUCUUCUUCUAAAUUCCCUGUUAUCAGUUAAUGGAACUCUAAUUCAUCUAUAAAUUUAAGCUAGUAUCCACAGAAUUAUUAUUUUUGGGGGGGUGGGGGGUGGGGUACAGAGUCUCACUCUGUUGCUCAGGCUGGCUUGCAAUGGCACAAUCUUGGCUCACUGUAACCUCUGCCUCCCAGGUUCAAGCAAUCCUCCCAGCUCAGUCUCCUGAGUAGCUGGGAAUACAGGUGCAUGCCACCACACCUGGCUAAUUUUUGCAUUUUUAGGAGACACGGUUUCAACAUGUUGGCUAGGCUGGUCUCAAACUCCUGACCUCAAGUGAUCUGCUUGCCUCAGCCUCCCAAAGUGCUGGGAUUACAAACGUAAGCCACCACCCCCAGCCAAAGUUAUUCUUAUUUCCUUCUUUUUCUUCAUGUGUCUUAUGUAGUCAUAUAUUAUUUUACAUUUUUUCUAAUUUUUAAAAAAUUAUUUAAACAAAUUUUUAGCACACACCACCUUUGUUAUUCUCAUAAAUUGACCUCUACUCUCCAUCGUCACUUCCACUGCCUUUGUUCAGUGCCUUGUCAUUUGUUACCAGCAUCACUACGUAGAUUUCCAACUGGUGUUUUGGUCUGCGAUAUUGUAUCCCCUUACCCACAGCUAUUCCAUCUGUCUUUCAUAGUGAACAGAAUGUACAUACAUAAAGUUGAUCAUGUACUCAUCUUAUUUAAAUGUUCGUGGUCUUUUUACCUGUAAAAAUCCAAAUAGAUUAGUAAAACAUCAGUUCACUUAACCUAGCUUUCCAACCCCGAUCUCUUGACAUUACACUCCUUUUGCUAUGAAUUUUAUGCUUUAUUCAGACUUCAAUCUCACCCUUUCUAGAUCUGGUUUUUCCUUUUUAUUUAAAAUGUCUUGUUUGGCAAGCUCCUGCUUACUAUACAAAAUCUAUCUCAGAUGUGCCCUUCUCUGUGAUUCAUUCUCUCCAAUUUCCCUAGUUGAUUCUCAGCUUAUGCUAGCAUUUUAAGUCUUUGUUUUUCUGCUUUUCAUCACUAUUUUAAGAGUGGGCCCAAACCAUGUCUUCUCAACUUUUGCAUCUCUAUUGCCUAUCAAAGUUCCUUACACAAAGAAGUUUCUAGAUAAUUACUCAAUGGAUGAAUGAAUACAUGGGAGUCUUUUGCCUCUCAUCUCACAUUUAUAAGAGUGUCCCCACUCUGAUGUACCUUGAAGGUGGAAGAAACUUACUAUUCCAAGUGGUGUUGAAAGCGGAGAAGUUGUGACAGGACAAGAAGUGUUUUUCUAAUCUAAACCAGGUAUCUUAUUUCCCUAUAUUUGCUUCUAUCAUUUUCUCUACUCCUCUAGGUCUAGAAAAAUGAUGAUAUCUAUGAUACAUCUACGUUAUACUAUAAUAGAUAUGUGAAACUAAAUUUUUUGUCACUCUUUUAAAUUGUUUUAAAUUGACAUGUAAUAAUUGUGCAUAUUCAUUACAUGUGAUGUUUCAAUACAUAUAAUGUAUAGUGAUCAGAUCAGGGCAAUCAACAUAUACAUCAUCUCAAACAUUUGUCAUUUCUUUGUGUUGAGAAGGUUCAAUAACCUACUUUUAGCUAUUUGAAAUUAUAUAUUAUUGUUAACUCUAGUCAUCCUAUCUUGGUACAGAAUGCAUUAGAACUUAUUUCCCUUAUCUAGCUGUAGUUUUGUAUUCUUUAACAAAUCUCUUAUCAUCCAAACAGUAAAUUAAAAAAUAAAUACAAUAUGCAGGGGAAACUGCAUAACUCAAAUUCUAAAAAUAUGCUUAAGAGUGAAAACAAAAACUGAUUUCGAAUAUAUUGAUGCCCUUUCUGUAUUUGGUAGACUUAAAUAUGAACAUUUGUAUUAUCUUUUGUUAGUGUCUCUUGACUUAGAGGCUUAUAUUUAAGGAUCCCAAUAAAUAUUUUUUAAUCCAUACUCAAUGUCAUACUGAGGACUAACCACCUAUGAGUUUAUAGAGGGAUUGUGAUUAGAUCAUAAUCAGUUUUCUCACUGAUCUAUUGAAGCAGGUUAAUUUGGUCUCACAGAACUUUAAAAUUUUUUCUUUCUCUACUUCAUUUCACUGUGAAAUUAGCAAUUAUUUUUUCCUGUAAGGUAAUAAUAUGAUCAAGAAGAAAAACAGGAAGGCUGAUAAAGAGAUAUGUACAGUAGAAUUUUCUCCACUGAUCCUUUGUCUGGAAGGCAACUAAAAUUUAGGCAGUCCAGAUUCUUUCAGUCAACAGGAGGCACUGUAGUUAUUCAGAUAAAACUAUGUUUCAUUCCUUAAUUUUGGUAAAUACCAUCCUAUAUUUAUUUUCUUGGAUUAUUAUAAAACACAAUCUCAGAAUUCUGUAUAUCACAUCUGAAUCUGCAAUCUGAAUUAAGCAAAAGAAAAAACUUAGAAUGAGAUUAAUUUUAUUUGUCUAACUGACUGGGCUAAGUGGUGCUUAGACAGUUGUUUAAACAUUAUUCCUGGAUGUGUCUGUGAGGGUGUUUCUGGAUGAGAUUAACAUUUGAAUUGGUAGACUGAGAAAGCAGAUUGAUCUUCCCAAAUGUGGGUAGGCCUCACCUAAUCCAUUGAAGGCCUGAAUAGAAUAAAAGGCUAAGUAAGAAAGAAUUAUCUCUCAUUACCUGCCUUCAAGCUAGGACAUUAGUUUUCUCCUGCCUUCACACUUGGACUUGGACUGAAAUUACUUUCACACUAUCAGCUUUCCUGAGUCUUCAGCUUAUUGGCUGUAGAUUUUGAGACUUCUCAGCUUCCAUAAUCAUGUGAGCCAUUUUAAAAUUUUAUCUAUCUAUCUAUCUAUCUGUCUGUCUGUCUGUCUAUCUUCUAUGGGUUUUGUUUCUCUGAAGAAAUCAGACUAAUACAGUAAGUUUUAACAAAAUAUUUUAAGUAAGCUGAGCUUAGCUCAAUCAAAUGAAUAAUAAUACAUUAUUGUCUUUUAUACCUUGCUCUUUAUCACACUCUAAGAAGAUAUUUCUUAAAGUCCUUAUUCUCUUAUCCUCAAUCACAGUAUUACCCACCCCCCCAAAAAAAACUUUACUAAAGGAAGUUGCUGCUGUAGCUCAUCAACAUAUGUCCUUAUAUUUAAAGAAUAUUGGUGUGUAUAGCUUUAGUCAGAGGUGGAUUAUCUAGUUUCUUUACUAUAUUAAUCAUUGUAUUCUGUCCUGAGACUAGAAUAUACUGAUAUAAUAGACAGUGUAGACUGGGCACAGUGGCUCACACCUAUAAUCCCAGCAUUUUGGGAGGCCCAGGUGGGCAGAUCACUUGAGGCCAGGAAUUUGAGACCAGCCUGGGCAACAUGGCAAAACCCCUGUCUGUACUAAAAAUACAAAAAUUAGCCAGGCAUAGUGUCACAUGAUUAUAGUCCCUGAUACUUAGAGAUUGAGAUACAGAAUCGCUUGAACCUGGGAGGCAGAGGUUGCAGUGAGCUGAGAUUAUGCCACUGCACUCCAGCCUGGGUGACAGAGUGAGACUCCUUCUCAAAAAAAAAAAAAAAAAAAAAAAAGAAAGACAGUGUACAUAUCAUAUAUUUUUGUUCAUGUGUUCUUUCUGUGUCACUUCCUCUCAUUCCAUCUUUUUUUUUUUUUUUUGGCUAUAUUCUUUGCUUUGAGGACAUGAGUCAAUGUAAGAAAAUGGCUUAUUUAUAUAUCCUUCCCUUUUUGCUCUUAUGCAGUGUGAGUCCCUUAAAGUCCCUUAAUCUUUAUGAACAUUCUUCUGUCUAAAUAAGACCUUGUGCCAUGUCACACGAUGCUUCACAUUAAAAUUAUACCUCUGCUAGACUGUAAAAUUAAGGAAGUCAGAGUCCCUAAUUUAUUUUUUCUAAGUGUAUCAGUGCAGUAAUGAUUUGAGUGCACAAAAAUCCUACGGGUAUUCAAUAAAAAAUUCUGUAACAAUAAAGAUAAUUUCAAAAAUAAAAUUUCUGAUUUAUCAUUGUACCUUUGUAUAAUACCUGAAUCACAGAAUACUGUGACAGAGGGUAAGAAAAUAGGAACUUUAUGAAAUAUGCCCUGAGAGGACAGAAUCAGAGUGGAAGUGAUCAAAGAAUGCAUUGUUUAUUAAGUAGAAAGCUUUCUCUAAGUGAGCCCACGUAGAUUUCUUUCCCCAUC
rnacentral:lncRNA from 10 species